CCCAGUGAACAAUUAAACGGCCGCGGUACCCUAACCGUGCAAAGGUAGCAUAAUCAUUUGUCUACUAAUUAUAGACCUGCAUGAAAGGCAAAAUGAGGGUUUAACUGUCUCUUAUAAUGAAUCAAUUAAACUGAUCUCCUAGUAAAAAAGCUAGAAUUUCCACAUAAGACCAGAAGACCCUGUGAAGCUUAAACUAAAUUAUUAAACCAUAUAAUAACCACUUUCGGUUGGGGCGACCUUGGAAAAAAAAAGAACUUCCAAAAACCAUGACUAUCCAUACCACCCAGGCCUACAAGCCAAUAAAUGACCCAGCACAGCUGAUCAAUGAACCAAGUUACUCCAGGGAUAACAGCGCAAUCCUCUUCAAGAGCCCAUAUCAAAAAGAGGGUUUACGACCUCGAUGUUGGAUCAGGACAUCCUAA
rnacentral:rRNA from 1 species